rnacentral:lncRNA from 1 species
GGGGCACGAGGUGGGAAAGGUCUGUACGAAUUGCUGUUAAACCGCAAAACACAGGCGUAAAAGUCACGCCUGACUGGACAUGAGGAGCUCAUUACAAAGUAGCAUUCUGUCUUCACAACUGUUUCUUUACUGGUCACCGCCUUCCCUGAGUCUUAGGUGAACUUGCCUGAUUUACCUGAAGGCCUGCAAGAGGAUUUCCAGGAGAGGAACAAGAAGACAGGAAAGCAGACAGGAGGGUGAGGCAUGUGCACUGGCUGAAGCAGCACAGCCCAUCUGAGCACAGCAUGCACGGGAGCCUGGGAUGCUCUGAUCCAGAAAGACCAGGGACUGAAAGAAACCCAAUGGAGAAUCAUGUACAUUAAAGCUUCCUCAGGAAUAUUAACUGAUUUAACAUAGUGCCCUGGUUUCACUUGGUAGAGAGUUUUCACCAAGCAUUGAAGGCCAUCUUUAAAUACUGAUUAUGUGGGGCAGUGAACAGGCAUUGCAGCUCCUUGCAUGGAACUAAAGGAGUGAAGUCAGUUAAGUGACAUUAUGAUCAGGAUUCCGAGAUGAUUUCUUUACAUACAUUCACUUUUGUUCUCUAUCAACUUGUUUUCAAUGUGAGUUUUGAAUGAACACACAUGAGGGAGGAUUUUCUUCUCGAGAGAAGUGGAAAUUUGUUGGUUACUUCUGUUGGCAAGUCACAGGACAAAGCGGAGUGCCAGGGUAUCAUGGUACUUUCACACCUUCUGUCUUCUGAACAUCUCAGUGAAAGUUCUGGGAAAUGUAAUUGAAUAUAAGAACAUUUUGAAUGGAUUAUCAAGUGUAGCAUCCUCUCACUAACAUACUAAACAGUCUGCUUUUUGAGUGCUGCUGAACACUGAGCUGAUACUGUACUUUGCAACACACCCAUCAUUUGUCUGUGGUUGUUGUCUAUCUGAACACACCAUCAGUUUUGCUGUCCCCACUGCUGUGCUCUCUUCCAUCACAGACUGGGAUGGAAUAUCCUUCAUUUCAUAUUGUAACACCAGGAAAAGCAAGCUGGGUGAGGACUUGUCUGCCCUUCAUUGUUUCUAUAAAUAAAGUAAGGAUGUUGAUCUCCA